GAUGAACGCUAGCGGGAGGCUUAACACAUGCAAGUCGCGGGGCAGCACGAGGUAGCAAUACUUUGGUGGCGACCGGCGCACGGGUGAGUAACGCGUAUGCAACCUGCCCAGUACAGGGGGAUAGCCCGGAGAAAUUCGGAUUAAUACCCCAUAAUGAUAAGAGAUGGCAUCAUUUUUUAUUUAAAGUUACGGCGGUACUGGAUGGGCAUGCGUGACAUUAGCUAGUUGGUAGGGUAACGGCCUACCAAGGCAUCGAUGUCUAGGGGUCCUGAGAGGGUGAUCCCCCACACUGGUACUGAGACACGGACCAGACUCCUACGGGAGGCAGCAGUGAGGAAUAUUGGUCAAUGGGCGCAAACCUGAACCAGCCAUCCCGCGUGAAGGAAGAAUGCGCUAUGCGUUGUAAACUUCUUUUCCAGGGGAAUAAAAUUUCGUACGUGUACGGGACUGAAGGUACCUUGGGAAUAAGCAUCGGCUAACUCCGUGCCAGCAGCCGCGGUAAUACGGAGGAUGCGAGCGUUAUCCGGAUUUAUUGGGUUUAAAGGGUGCGUAGGCGGAAAAAUAAGUCAGUGGUGAAAACCUUCAGCUUAANUNNNNNACUUGCCAUUGAUACUGUUAUUCUUGUGUAUAGUUAAGGUAGGCGGAAUGUGUAAUGUAGCGGUGAAAUGCUUAGAUAUUACACAGAACACCAAUUGCGAAGGCAGCUUACUGAGCUAUAACUGACGCUGAUGCACGAAAGCGUGGGGAGCGAACAGGAUUAGAUACCCUGGUAGUCCACGCCGUAAACGAUGAUCACUCGCUGUUGGCGAUACACAGUCAGCGGCUAAGCAAAAGCAUUAAGUGAUCCACCUGGGGAGUACGGCCGCAAGGCUGAAACUCAAAGGAAUUGACGGGGGCCCGCACAAGCGGAGGAACAUGUGGUUUAAUUCGAUGAUACGCGAGGAACCUUACCUGGGCUUAAAUGUAUAGUGCAUUCUGCCGAAAAGCAGAUUUCCUUCGGGACUCUAUGCAAGGUGCUGCAUGGUUGUCGUCAGCUCGUGCCGUGAGGUGUCGGGUUAAGUCCCAUAACGAGCGCAACCCUUAUCGUUAGUUGCCAGCGGGUAAUGCCGGGAACUCUAGCGAAACUGCCGGUGUAAACCGAGAGGAAGGUGGGGAUGACGUCAAAUCAGCACGGCCCUUAUGUCCAGGGCUACACACGUGUUACAAUGGCCGGUACAGAGGGCAGCUACCUGAUGACAGGAUGCGAAUCUCGAAAGCCGGUCUCAGUUCGGAUCGGAGUCUGCAACUCGACUCCGUGAAGCUGGAUUCGCUAGUAAUCGCGCAUCAGCCAUGGCGCGGUGAAUACGUUCCCGGGCCU
rnacentral:rRNA from 1 species